AGGCGUCAGACUCUUUGCCUCCACUUCAGGGGAGGUGGCCAUGUCUUCUUAAACCUGUGGCCCUCAGAGGUUCUACCUUCUCAAGGCUCCUCCCUGUCUCCUGGCUAGUUACCACAUCUUACCACUGGGCUACCGGUCUCUAAGGGCCUACGAGAGACUCUCCUGAGAAUUCAGGGAAACUGAGCCCAGGAGUUAUCGUAGGUUUCAUCUUUCCCUGGUUCUCCCUCUUUGGUCCAUAAUUUCCCUGGUGCCAGCUUCUUUUCCACCUGGGGCAACCUCAUCCCUGGGCUCUCUGCUGCAGAUGGCAGUGUCAGCCUCCAGUAGGUCACUGGCAGUGCCAAUGGGGUCUCUGCGGGCCCCAAGUUUAAGUGAAGGCAGUGAUUCUGCCUCCAACCUGGCUUUCCCAAAGCCCUUAGGUCACCGCCCUUAGGGAAGGAGGCCUACAAUUGUCAUAUUUUAAUUCCAUUACUUUAAGUCUGGAAUGUUAAACUAGGCAGAACUAUCAUCUUGCUUCCCAGUUUAAAUGCCUCUGGCCCUGGAACAAGCCUUUUCAAGACGUGAAUCGUUGGUUUUACACAGUAGCUCUGCUCCAACGGUUCUGUGUAAACCAAACGCUGUUUUUUAAUGCAUUUGGACUGCUGACCAUGUAAAGGCAGCCUAUGUUUGCUUCUUUUGUAAAGCAAGCAACUUCCCUCUACUUUAGCCAGUUUCAUCAUUUGGGUUCUCACACAGUGGGCUUACCCAGAGUGGAGCACACCUCCGGGGCUUGUGGCUGCUGCUGUGUAGACGCCUGCAUCUGUGCUGCGUGUGUGGUGCGUGUGGCUGGCCAGCAGGUGAGUCUUACUGCGUGCGUGAGUGAAGCCACUCCCAGGCUGAUGCUCUCCUCCUGUGCCCGGUGACUGCCCAGUGGCAGCUCUAGCUGCCCUUCAUUCCCACCUGCUGCCAAAGUCCCUGUGCUAAUGGGAUUACAGAAACAAAAAGUGGAAAAAAAUUUUUCGUAAACUUUGUUUUAUAUUAAAAAAUCCAUAAGUCUGUGUGUGUUAAAACAUGAGGUUCUGCCUCUGUGGCUGUGUUUGAAAAAAUAAAGUUUUAUUAG
rnacentral:lncRNA from 1 species